rnacentral:rRNA from 1 species
GACGAACGCUGGCGGCGUGCUUAACACAUGCAAGUCGAACGGAAAGGCCCUGCUUUUGUGGGGUGCUCGAGUGGCGAACGGGUGAGUAACACGUGAGUAACCUGCCCUUGACUUUGGGAUAACUUCAGGAAACUGGGGCUAAUACCGGAUAGGAGCUCCUGCUGCAGUGUGGGGGUUGGAUAGUUUCGGCGGUUGGGGAUGGACUCGCGGCUUAUCAGCUUGUUGGUGGGGUAGUGGCUUACCAAGGCUUUGACGGGUAGCCGGCCUGAGAGGGUGACCGGCCACAUUGGGACUGAGAUACGGCCCAGACUCCUACGGGAGGCAGCAGUGGGGAGUAUUGCACAAUGGGCGGAAGCCUGAUGCAGCAACGCCGCGUGCGGGAUGACGGCCUUCGGGUUGUAAACCGCUUUCGCCUGUGACGAAGCGUGAGUGACGGUAAUGGGUAAAGAAGCACCGGCUAACUACGUG